UACGAAGGGGGCGAGCGUUGUUCGGAUUUACUGGGCGUAAAGGGCGCGUAGGCGGCGCAACAAGUCAGGCGUGAAAGCCCCGGGCUCAACCUGGGAGGUGCGCUUGGGACUGUUGUGCUUGAGUUCGGGAGAGGAGAGUGGAAUUCCCAGUGUAGAGGUGAAAUUCGUAGAUAUUGGGAAGAACACCGGUGGCGAAGGCGGCUCUCUGGACCGAGACUGACGCUGAGGCGCGAAAGCGUGGGGAGCAAACAGG
rnacentral:rRNA from 1 species